rnacentral:rRNA from 1 species
AUAAAUAGCCGCAAUUCGUGCUAAGGUAGCAUAAUCAUUUGUCUUUUAAAUGAAGACUAGAACAAACGAUUUAACAUUUUAAUUCUUUUAUUUAAAAUAAAUAUUAUAUUUUUCUUAAAUGUAAAAAGACAUUUAUUAAUAAGAAAGACGACAAGACCCUAUUGAACUUAACUUCAGUUUAACUGGGGCAGUUAAUUAAUUACAAUUUUAUAUAUUUAUAAAUUAUAUAAUCCAAUAUAAUUAAUUAAUUUAGUUACCAUAGGGAUAACAGCGCAAUUAUAUUUUAGAGCCCUUAUCUGAAAAUUAGAUUACGACCUCGAUGUUGAAUUAAUACCCUACAUAAAGCAAACUUUAAGUAAGGAAGUCUGUUCGACUUUUAAAAAAUUACAUGAUUUGAGUUCAGACCGGUGUAAGCCAGGUCGGUUUCUAUCUUCUAAAUAAUAUUUUACAGUACGAAAGGACCUAAAAUAAAAUUUAAUAAAUUUAUUUGGCAGAAAAAUGCAUUAGAAUUAGAAUCUAAUUAAACU